rnacentral:pre_miRNA from 1 species
UCCUAGAAAGACCACAAUUUUGCUCCAAUGUUUGACCGUCCAUCUUAUUUAAAAAAAUUAUGAUUAGUAUUUUAUUGCUAUUAGAUGGUAAAAUAUGAAUAAUACUUUAUGUGUGACUACUUUUUUUAUUUUUGCAUAAAGUUUUGAAAUAAGACGGACGGUCAAAUGUUGAACACGGAAAUCCAUAACUGCACUAAAA